AAUAAACCCUGGUUUCCGUGUCCAACAUUUGACCGUUCGUCUUAUUUAAAAAAAUAUGAAAAAAAUUAAAAAGAUAAGUAAUGUAUAAAGUAUUAAUUAUGUUUUAUCAUCUAACAAUAAUGAAAAUACUAAUUAUAAAAAAAAUUCAUAUAAGACGAACAAUCAAACGUUGACACGAAAAUCUAGGGUUUGCCUUUUU
rnacentral:pre_miRNA from 1 species